rnacentral:rRNA from 1 species
CCUACGGGGGGCAGCAGUGAGGAAUAUUGGUCAAUGGGCGCGAGCCUGAACCAGCCAAGUAGCGUGAAGGAUGACUGCCCUACGGGUUGUAAACUUCUUUUAUAAGGGAAUAAAGUGCAGUACGUGUACUGCUUUGCAUGUACCUUAUGAAUAAGGAUCGGCUAACUCCGUGCCAGCAGCCGCGGUAAUACGGAGGAUCCGAGCGUUAUCCGGAUUUAUUGGGUUUAAAGGGAGCGUAGGAGGGUUGUUAAGUCAGUUGUGAAAGUUUGCGGCUCAACCGUAAAAUUGCAGUUGAUACUGGCAGCCUUGAGUACAGUAGAGGUAGGCGGAAUGCGUGGUGUAGCGGUGAAAUGCUUAGAUAUCACGAAGAACUCCGAUUGCGAAGGCAGCCUGCUGGACUGCAACUGACGCUGAUGCUCGAAAGUGUGGGUAUCAAACAGGAUUAGAUACCCGGGUAGUC